GACGAACGCUGGCGGCGUGCUUAACACAUGUAAGUCGAACGGAAAGGCCCUGCUUUUGUGGGGUGCUCGAGUGGCGAACGGGUGAGUAACACGUGAGUAACCUGCCCUUGACUUUGGGAUAACUUCAGGAAACUGGGGCUAAUACCGGAUAGGAGCUCCUGCUGCAUGGUGGGGGUUGGAAAGUUUCGGCGGUUGGGGAUGGACUCGCGGCUUAUCAGCUUGUUGGUGGGGUAGUGGCUUACCAAGGCUUUGACGGGUAGCCGGCCUGAGAGGGUGACCGGCCACAUUGGGACUGAGAUACGGCCCAGACUCCUACGGGAGGCAGCAGUGGAGAAUAUUGCACAAUGGGCGGAAGCCAGAUGCAGCAACGCCGCGUGCGGGAUGACGGCCUUCGAGUUGUAAACCACUUUCGCCUGUGACGAAGCGUGAGUGACGGUAAUGGGUAAAGAAGCACCGGCUAACUACGUG
rnacentral:rRNA from 1 species